rnacentral:rRNA from 1 species
AGUGAACGCUGGCGGUUGGCCUAACACAUGCAAGUCGAACGGCAGCACAGUAAGAGCUUGCUCUUACGGGUGGCGAGUGGCGGACGGGUGAGGAAUACAUCGGAAUCUACUUUUUCGUGGGGGAUAACGUAGGGAAACUUACGCUAAUACCGCAUACGACCUACGGGUGAAAGCAGGGGAUCUUCGGACCUUUCGCGAUUGAAUGAGCCGAUGUCGGAUUAGCUAGUUGGCGGGGUAAAGGCCCACCAAGGCGACGAUCCGUAGCUGGUCUGAGAGGAUGAUCAGCCACACUGGAACUGAGACACGGUCCAGACUCCUACGGGAGGCAGCAGUGGGGAAUAUUGGACAAUGGGCGCAAACCUGAUCCAGCCAUGCCGCGUGAGUGAAGAAGGCCUUCGGGUUGUAAAGCCCUUUUGUUGGGAAAGAAAAGCAGCAGGUUAAUACCCCGCUGUUCUGACGGUACCCAAAGAAUAGGCACCGGCUAACUUCGUG